CUAGAAUUUUCUGCACACAGGCAUAGAAAUCUAUGAAAAUCAAAAAUUCCAAGUGCAAAUAAUGGUUAAUGUCUUCCCGAUAUUUAUCAUACCAAUGUUACCUGAAAAAUGAACAACUCAGAAAAACUCAGAAAGCCAUGUACUUACUGGUGACAACUGUGCCAUUCCCAGGAAUAUCUUGGACGGCUUGUUGGCUCCAAAGUUUAAGAAUCGUAGAAGAACUGAGAAGAAGCUGGCUCCAGCAGGAGGAUCUGCUCCAC